UUCUCCGCUUCAGCCGUGUUCCCGAAAACAGCUGGGAAACUUUGAAUUCUCACCAUCCCGUGGGGCUACUCUGAAAGGCACCAGGAGGUUUCAGUGCUCGGCCGAUAGGUCUUGGCAACCGCGGGGGGGGCGGUUGAGGGGUGGGUGGGCUGCACCUUGUUGGUCAGAAGGAUCACUCACUGGUGGGCUGUUUUCCUGGUCAUUGCUGGUUCCUGCAGACUUUCUCCACCCCGUGUGUGUGUGUGUGUGUGUGUGUGUGUUAGAGGCGUCAUCAUCAAGCAUUAAGCAAUCUCAUUUUCCUAGUCGGUCUGCUAACCUCUCUCUCACACACACACUCACCGGAUUCCAACUGAUCUCAGCUCUUUCUCUUUUUAAGGCAGUUACAACUGCCUUCAGCCAGCUCGUUUGCAGCCCCCAGCGCCUCGGGAUGUUUCAUAAGGUCUGCAGGAAAAAGUGUCACCCAUCGAGAACACCUUGACCCGCCAACAGCCAACUCCUGAGACGUUGUCUCCCGUUGUCGCCCACAUCUGACUCGCCUACCAAGGGAUGCGAGGACAUGCCAAUGAAGUAGUCUUGGGGAAUCACUUUUCAGUACCGCCGAUCGGCGUUUUAAUCUAUAAAAGGCACGGUGGCAACAUUUAAAAGACCAUUCAGUCCCAUCCCGAAGAAACAAGGAACUCCACGCGGGAAGUGGGAAUUCUGUAGCUGAUGGCUCGUGGGAGUCGACAGGGAAAAUGGUAGGGAUUACACGAGGAGAAGGGAAUUUGUUGGUGAACCCGAACUGAAAGGACACCCCCCCCCACCGACCCCACAACCCUCCCGCUGCCCCUCCUCCUCCACCACCAUCACCCCCACCCCCUCCCAUGGCUCCGGCAAACCCCCGUAAGGAUGCCAACACAUGGCCAAGUGUGCCCUCAACUUUCUGGGCAGUCAUCAUUCUGGCUAGCUUCCUCCUCGCAUACUGCAGUCAGCUCGCUGCAGGCACUUGUGAGAUAGUUACACUGGAUAAAGAUAGCAGUCAACCGCGAAGGACUAUAGCCAGACAAACUGCAAGAUGUGCGUGUAAAAAGGGACAGAUUGCCGGCACAACGAGAGCAAAGCCAGCCUGUGUGGAUGCACGAAUUGUAAAGACUAGACAAUGGUGUGAAAUGCUUCCGUGUUUGGAAGGAGAAGGUUGCAAUUUGUUAAUGAAUAAGUCAGGCUGGACCUGCACACAGCCAGGUGGGCGAAUAAAGACAACUACGGUUACUGUUUUGUGAACCACCAUUUCCAACAACAUGGAAUUUGACUUCGUUUUCAUGAUCACCUUUGAGUUUGAAAGCCAGGAAAGGAUAAGUAACAUGUUCAUUUCUGUCUCCUGACAAAUGCAUCAACAAAGAAUCCUUGCAGGAGCAGCUUAGAACUCUGUGUGAGCUACUUAUAUGAAUCAAAUUCUACUGCUGCGGACUACCAUCUGUUGUAUGUUAUUUGUUCAACUCUCUCUUUCUCUACACUGAUGAAAACAGCAUAUUCUCACCUAACUCUUGAGCUAAAGUUUCACUUAUUCUGUUGUUAGGACAACUGGGGCAGUAAAUAUAGAAUACUGAGCUACGCUUGGACAGAAGCAAUAUUGACAAUGUUUGACCCUUCUCAUCACUACUUUUCAACUAAUGUUGGAUUGCUGUUAUCCAGUUGAUGUUUCUGCUCAGAAAGCCUGUUACAGAAGACUGAAUUGAUUUUAUCAGCCCCUAACAGGCAGCGAAUCUUUGCCUCAGGUGGGACACUAAAGAGUUACUGAAGGCUCCAUAGUAAAGACACUGUGCUAUUAUUUGUGUAACUCUCUCUGACAUCUAUACAUCUAUUUCCUCAUCUUUACCUGUUUGCAAAACAAUAGACCAAAGAACAAAAGGAGAACGUUAAAAUGGACACUAUUUCAUUGUGAAUGAGCUUUACUGAUUUCAAUUGUAAUGGGCUCCUGAAGGAUUUGGUUUCAGCUUUUCAUAGUGCUGAAAUAAAUCAUUACUGGCUUGGGUAGAGUCUUUGUUGAAAAAAAAUAGAGGGACUCCUGAUGUUGGGAAAGUUGAUCAGAUGUAAGAUGUCUAAAGGUUCUAAUGGAGCAUGGAAACAGAAUAAUAGUCUAUGUCCCAUCACAAAAGAGACACAUAUGAACACUCACGCUGGGAGGACAUCUUAGUCUCCUGUUUAGUUUGGCUGACUUCUUUCUCAUUCUUAAGUUACAUUGUAUUUUCAACCAGAGAAAAAAAAGAACUAAAUGUGAAACAUUUGCAGCUCGUGUUUCCUUUCCCAGCAUAAAAGUAGCUACUGUCAAACAGCAUUUGCAAUGAGCAUGUCUGGCUACCUGCAGCCUGUGUCACAAUUCAAUCAACCAUCUACCACACACACACACACACACACACACACACACACGCACAGAGACACAAAUCAAAUUAGAUGAGAAAGUAACAUUUGUUGAAAACAGGAUCAUUAAAUGUAUUUUGAGAAACCUAAAGUUAUAUAUUUAACAGUUUUUAUAUGUUGUAUCUUUGUAGAAAAUCUUAUUUAACAAAUAAUGUGGCCAUACUAUGCCAGCCACAAAAGUGGUCAAGAGUUGUGUUUUAACUUCUGGUAUCUGUCAAAGAGAUGAUUGGUGUAUGUUUCUUUCCUUGGAGCAUUCUGGAUAUGAAAACUGGCCACAAAGAACUCUGUAGAAAAAAAAAUGUUGUUCAUACAUCAAUACAUUCAACCAUUGCACUGUAGGAAGACAGUUUAUUUCUUUUCUGUAAUGGUAUAAUAGAGUGGAAAACAUUUUAAACUUUUGAUAUCAAUACCUUGUUUUUACUUUCCCCUUUCUAUUUAUUUUCUUGUUGUCACCUACUGCUAAAUGGAAUAAUUGAGAUUGCCUGGAUUUACGCAAUGAGGGAUUUCACUGGAGUCUUAUUGCAAAAUAAUAGUUAAAGACCAAUUGUUAUCCGGUUGCCACAGACAAAUACCUGUUUUCCCUGAAAUGUUUAACAGGAGACUUCCUUUCUGAAGCUAAAUGUGAGCUGCUAUGUGACAAGGAUUAAACAUCCAAGGGCUGUAUAUUGUUUGUUCAGUUCCACAUGACGAUAUUCUCUUGCAACCACCUUUAGUUGUGAUCCCUGAUUUGAAAGUUCAUCCAUUGUGUUCAUUGCAGUGCUAUCAGAGGAUGACAGUGUCACUUCACAGUUACUUUUGUAGACCACAGAAGCACAUACUUAGGUUGCUUGUUCUUUUACACUUUUAGCAGAUUUCUUUAAAUCCUUAUCUUAUGAUCUUCAAUGAAACAGUUUGUUUUUUGCCUUGUUUUUAAUGUAGGGAACAAAAAUAAAUCUGAACAUGAAACCAAAGCUCAAAUUUUCAAGCACUCUGCCUUCUCCUUGACCUAACAAGGAAAGAAUAUGGAGAGAUCUGUUUUGGAACUCAUGACUGUGAUUUCACUAAAUGUACAACUGUGAGUUUGCAGUCAGUAAGAUAAUCAUUCAGACCCUUGGAGUAAUCUUUCUGGAGCAGUAAGUCUAAGUUGACUGUGCUGUGAAAGAUGGUCCUCCCCUAAAGUUAACUUUGCCUUGGAUGUUUUUGCAUAUUUUGUGAUAAAAUCACUCUCCCUGCAACCUUGUAAUCUAAUUUGUUUUUUCUUAUGUGUGGCUAGAGUAAAAUAAAUAAGGUGUGAGCAGAAGUAAUGAAUGAGGCAAAAUGCAUUCUGAAAAUGAAUAUCCAUUUGGAUCUGAGAAAUCUAUUUAAUCCUAUCAAUGAAUACGUAACCCCUCCUUCCUCCAAUACGUAUGGACAUCUCCCUAGACAUGUAUAACAUGCUCCUGCCUAGGCAUUUGUGUAUUUUUAUUAUCAUUAGACAUUUUAAAUUAAACCCACUCUUUUGCAUUACACUAUGCUUCAUGCAACACUUCUUUUCAUGAACACACUCUAUGUUAGCUCUGAGUUGUCUUGGUGGGAAACACUUUGGAAAAAUAUGGGUACAAACUGCUACCAGGCAAUUUUUUGACUUCUGAAACUUAUACAUGAGUUCAGAGGAAGGCUUGAGUUUUAACCUCAGGAGAACUUGUAUUUUGCCCUCCUGGCAGUCAGUUCAUCUUUAAACCAUCAUGUACCUCUAUGGCACAAUAUUCCCCUCUCUGGAGGAGGUGAGGAAGGUUGCGAGAAGAGCAAACAAUUGGAGGAAUUGACCCUGGAGAAGUGCUCAAUGCCUUCUCACAAUCUUAGCAAGGGGCUGCAGUCUGGAAAUUGAGCUAGACCAUUCAGGAGGGAUGUUAGAAAGCAAGUCUACACACACAGGUAGGUGUUUGGAACACAAAUGGCAGUGGAUGUAGGAUCAGUUGUCAAUUUAAAUGUGAGAUAGAUAAUUUUUUUAAUAAACAAAGGUGCUAAGGGAUAUCGGCCAAAGGCAGAUACAUAGAGUUAGGCCACAGACCAUCCAUGAACUCAUUGAAUAGUGGAACAGGAUCAAGGGGCUGCAUGACCUUCUCUUGUUCCUAAUUAAGCGCUUGAUGAAAAUGUCCACUCCAGACAUUAACUCAUCACCAUCCCACGUACCUGUGAUUAUCUUCACAGCAGGAGGAGUCGUGUGGUGUGCCUGCCUCUGGACUACAACUCCCACCUUCUCUAGAGGUAUGCCUUAACAAGUCUGAACAAACUGAUUAAAAAUAGUUUCCUUCAAGGCAAAAAAAUGGAAGAGCAGUGGCAGACUGCCUCUGCAAGCACCAACCUAGCAGAAAAAUUCAACUAGGAUUGGCCAUUGAAAGCUGCUGCCCUCCUCUUGCUAUUAACUCCUCUUUCCGCAAGACCACAACACCCACAAGACUCAAAAGAAAAGGAUAUAUUCUCGCCUGUGAUGGUCUGUCGAAUUCAUCCCAACAACCAAUUCCUUCCGGCAAUGUGGAAUCUCAGUACUGAAACAUGCAAUUUGUCAAGAAGCUGAUCGGAGCUUGAUCCAGUGAGUUUUCUCAUUUAUGAACCUAGAGAAUCAGUCCACUUGGGAUGCAAAUUGGAAAAUCUUGGUGUAUGUAUUUCAAAAGCAUUUCCUUUCCUUAACAAUUUACAGAAUCCUAUCACAUAAAAUAAUAAAAUACUGCUGUUCAGUAAUUGCAUAGCAUUACAUUCUAAUUCUUGAGCCCAAAUAAAUUGUAAUUUUCACUUUACAUCAUUGUGAAUUACAGGUAAUUGCCUGCAAUUAAAUACAGUAUUUUGUGUGUUUAAAUUACUCAGUAUUUUAGGUAAUCUAUACUGACCACACAAUAUAUGUCGCUGGAAAGGAGAGGCUAAAUUGGAAGUAGUUUGCAAGUUGUUGAAGAUAUUUUUUUUUUCAAACUCAUGUCUUUUUAAAAUAC